AACGCACAUUGCGCCUUCUAGUACUCUAGGAGGUAUACCUGUCCGAGCGUCGUUUCAACCCUCAAGCCCUCGUGGUUUGGUGUUAGAGUCCUACAGUCUUAUAGUCUCCCAAAACCAGUAGCGGACCCGUCGCGGCCCUUCCUUUACGUAGUAGCAUUCGCCUCGCAUCGGGAGCCCACGGGACUUUCUAGCCUCUAAACCCCCCACAAGUCCGCUCCGGCGGCACAAGGUUAACCUCGGAUCAGGUAGGAAUACCCGCUAAACUUAA
rnacentral:misc_RNA from 1 species